UUACGACUAAACCACGUUGAAACACCAAUUUCCAUGCAAUCACCGAAGUUAAGCAGCACCGAGCCUAGUCAGUAUCAAGUUGGGUGACCGCCUAAGAAUACAAGGUGCUGUAAG